GAGGACGUGUUUCAACAGAUGGUUGGGGUUAGUGUGUGUCAUCACAUUCGAGUGGGGAUUAAGAGAAGGAAGGCUGCCUUGCUGGAGCUGUGUGGUCUUCUCCAAGUGAGAGUUGCAGGCAAUAGAACUCCUGUGCUUUUGCGAGAAGAGGAGGAAUUCAUUUUCAGCAGCCACAAGAAAAGCAGUUUUUUCAGACUUGGCCUCCUACACCCACAUUCACGUACCUGCGGUGUGCAAGAGUUCUUGCUCCUACUGGAUUUCACAUUUGGCAGAGAAACUCAACACUGUUUUCACCCUUGCAGGUGCUGACGACCCCCUGACAUCGUCUAAAGAAGGAAAACUUGGCAAAUGGCAUGCAGGUUCUUCAAGGAAGAAUAAUA